AGAGUUUGAUCCUGGCUCAGGAUAAACGCUGGCGGCGUGCCUAACACAUGCAAGUCGAACGCCCUGCUUCGGCAGGGAGUGGCGGACGGGUGAGGAACACGUGGGUAUCUGCCCUGGGGUGAGGAAUACCGGCGAGAAAUCGCCGACAAUACCGCAUAGGCUCCGGAAGGAGCAAAGUCGCAAGACGCCCUGGGAUGAGC
rnacentral:rRNA from 1 species